CCCUGUUAAAGCAGAGUUGAGUUUGUCCAGUGUCACCUUGUGUUGUUCCAGAACAUGUGAACCUAUAUUUAAACUUCUAUUUCCUGGUUUUCAGGUUUAAGUCACUCUAUUAGGUACAAUUGUGUUGAACAGCAGAGGGAUUAGUUGGAGCAGGUUGACAAAACUGUCAGUGAUAUGAGGAGAAGCACAUAUGUACUGUCAAAGAAGUGUUACGUAGCAGGUGCAUGUUACAACAUCUCUCAAAGAGGGCAGAGUAAAUAUCCAUAGUGGGCAAGGAGGAGAAGAACCACCUCUCCAAGGACGGCAAGAAAGGACAAUAGCUUCUUUAACCAGCCUGUUGAUCCCAGCACGCCUCAAGAUAACACCUCUAAAAGCCAGCCAGCAGCAGCAAUAAGACAGCUAAAAGCAACAAAAAAUAAGGAAGUCAAAACCUUCUGUACCAUGACAUCACCAAGACUUCAACAUCACUGGCAAGAUAGAAUUUGCAAAAGCACUAGCAAGAGAUUAGAUUUAAAUUGUUUUCGUAAUAGACUAUUAAAAUCAUAUUGUUGUUUAAG